rnacentral:misc_RNA from 1 species
AACAUCGCGCACCUGCGGGAACCUGCGGAAGGAUCAUUACUGAGUCACGUGCUCAAACAACCCUUCUGUGGACCUGAAAUAAAACCGUUGCCUCGGCGGGCGGUUCCCCCCAAACCAACCCCACGUGGUGGGUUAGGGGAGACCAGACAGUCCGGUACGCUUAAGGCGUCCGGCGCCAGCCGCUGGCCCCAAACAAUUAAACUCUAGUAAUCUUUACCUUCUGAGUUUCAAUAUUUAAAA